GGCCGCCUGGCGAAAUGGCAUCGCGUCUGACUACGAUUCGUCGAAAUCAGGAGAUUGCAGGUUCGACCCCUGCGGUGGUCA